GAACAGAAACAACACACUCAGACUUGAGAAACUGGUCUGGUUUAAAAGGGUUCCUGGCCUUACAGUCUUGUCAGCUGAAGCUGGAUGGGUUAAUAUAGACUGCAGAGAAAUCACCACCACUCAUACAUGGACUACUCAGAAAUUUCACCAGAACACCUCAUGCAAACUGCAAACCAGGAAAUUCCGUCAGAUUGCCACUGCCUGCCCCCAUUCAAACUGAAGAUACUUCAAGCUUAACAUCUAAAACUUUCUGACUGGCUGCCCUCUGGACUAAAAAAACUGAGUUUAUAGUCAGUUCCAAUCAUUAACCUUUGCUUUUCUCGUUUCAAUGAAAAUAUCUUUUUUUUUUUUUUUUUUUGAGACAGAGUUUUGCUGUUGUUGCCCAGGCUGGAGUGCAAUGGUACAAUCUCGGCUCAUUGCAACUUCCACCUUCUGGGUUCAAGUGAUUCUCCUGCCUCAGCCUCCUGAGUAGCUGCGAUUAUAGGAAUGUGCCACCACACCUGGCUAAUUUUGUAUUUUUAGUAGAGACAGGGUUUCUCCAUGUUGGUCAGGCUGGUCUCAAACUCCCUAGGUGAUCCGCCCGCCUCGGCCUCCCAAAGUGCUGGGAUUAUAGGCAUGAGCCACCACACCUGGCUGGAAAUAUCUCUUAUUAAAUGAAUGAUUGCUUAGGCCUAACUUUGGUGGAUGCCAUUCUGCAAUCCCACCACCUGACUCGAGACAGUCCUGUUAACUGUUUAACUGGACUGACCUAUUCUCAGGACUGAGAGACUGGUAUAAUGACUAGAUAAUAUAGUGACCCAGUUCCUGAACCGAGAAACUUUAUAAGGAGGUUUCAUGGUACCUUGGCAAUUGAGAAAACCAAAGAAGCAAGAAGGUCAGUAUUACCACAAUCACUAUGCCUUUCUGUGUGGCAGCUGGCCAUAAAGGAAUGCUCUGACCUACCUCCCCUGAAAGUAGGGCAUAAAGCCCUUAUUCCAGAGGAGUACUUCUUUACCCAGAGGCCAAAAGAAUCUGAACAGACAGCCAUUUCUGGGCUCCCCAGUGCCCAUUUAUUAGCACUAGAUAAUAUACUUAUUGUCCAAUCAUACUUCUACAUGACUUGUCCAUAGAAUCCAAGCCUAAAAAUACAUACUUUUCAUUGGGUCUUUGGUCCUCAUUUCUGAGGGCUCCCUUGUCAUGGAAAACUUUGUUAAAUAAUUUUUUAAUGGUUUUCUCUUGUUAAUCUGUUUUGUUGUAAGAUUGCAAGCCAUAACCCUGGCAAUGGGUGACAAAAAACUAUUAACUUCUUGUCUCCUACAAUAGACACUGUUAGUAACUGGACUCUACCCUCCCAUGGAAUUUCCCUCACUUCUUUUCUUGCCUGAUUCAAUCAUAACAACCCUGCUGACUUUCAAUUGUGCCUACAAUUUUCACCUUAAUCCUAUCAGGUCCUGAAGAAAUUUUUCCAGAUGAAUUAGUGAUCAUCUCCCAACUAUUUGGACUUUGGUGUCUGCCAUUCUGUAUAUAACAGAACAUACUAUAAAAGCACAGUCUGUACUGGACAGAAUCAUUUACUCCCUUUCCUAGACCAGCCACGUAGCUUGGCCUGAUCUGGAGGCUAAAAUAUGGAGCCCCAUUCAUCAUCUUUGGAAGAGCUGUCUUGAAGGCAGCAUGUCCAGAGCCCCACAUGCCACCAGACUUAAGCCUAAAGUAAGCUGGGAUUGGGCAAUGGACAACUUCACUGCACUGAGCCACCACUGCCAAUGUCCCCAGUUCUGUGCACAUAUGAAGUACAGUGCAUUCAGGCUGCCAUGCUGGGCUUACAUAGGCUAGAGUCAUUUCUGAAGUUUAAAGGGGACAAAAAUGUUGUUGAGACCCACACUCUGGGGCCAAUGGCUGAAACCACAGAAGAGCUACACUCACUUGAAAAAUAAGUGUAUGCUGAGAUCGUUCGAAGAUGGCUGAAUAGGAACAGCUCCAGUCUAAAGCUCCCAGCGUGAGCAACACAGAAGACAGGUGAUUUCUGCAUUUCCAACUGAGCUUUGAAGAGAGCAGUUGUUCUCCCAGCAUGGAGUUUGAGAUCUGAGAACGGACAGACUGCCUCCUUAAGUGGGUCCCUGGCCCCCGAGUAGCCUAACUGGGAGACACCUCCCAGUAGGGGCCAACUGACACCUCAUACAGCCGGGUGCCCCUCUGAGACGAAGCUUCCAGAGGAAGGAUCAGGAAGCAACAUUUGCUAUUCUGCAAUAUUUGCUGUUCUGCAGCCUCCACUGGUGAUACCCAGGCAAAUAAGGUCUGGAGUGGACCUCCAGCAAACUCCAACAGACCUGCAGCUGAGGGUUCUGACUGUUAGGAGGAAAACUAACAAACAGAAAGGAAUAGUAUCAACACCAACAAAAAGGACAUCCACACCAAACCCCAUCUGUAGGUUACCAUCAUCAAAGACCAAAGGUAGAUAAAACCACAAAGAUGGGGAGAAACCAGAGCAGAAAAGCUGAAAAUUCUAAAAUCAGAGCAUUUCUUCUCCUCCAAAGAAUCACAGCUCCUCGCCAUCAACGGAACAAAGCUGGACAGAGAAUAACUUUGACGAGGUGACAGAAGUAGGCUUCAGAAGAUCGGUAAUAACAAACUUCUCCGAGCUAAAGGAGGAUGUUCAAACUCAUCGCAAAGAAGCUAAAAACCUUGAAAAAAGAUUAGACGAAUGGCUAACUGGAAUAAACAGCAUAGAGAAGACCUUAAAUGACCUGAUGGAGCUGAAAACCAUGGCACAAGUACUACGUGAUGCAUGCACAAGCUUCAGUAGCCGAUUUGAUCAAGUGGAAGAAAGCGUAUCAGUGAUUGAAGAUCAAAAGAAUGAAAUGAAGUGAGAAGUUAGAGGAAAAAAGAGUAAAAAGAAAUGAACAAAGCCUCCAAGAAAUAUGGGACUAUGUGAAAGGGCCAAAUCUACAUUUGAUUGGUGUACCUGAAAGUGACAGGGAGAAUGGAACCAAGUUGGAAAACACUCUUCAGGAUAUUAUCCAGGAGAACUUCCCCAACCUAGCAAGGCAGGUCAACAUUCAAAUUUAGGAAAUGCAGAGAAUGCCACAAAGAUACUCCUCAAGAAGAGCAACCCCAAGACACAUAAUCGUCAGAUUCACCAAGGUUGAAAUGAAGGAAAAAAAGGUUAAGGGCAGCCAGAGAGAGGUCAGGUUACCCACAAAAGGAAGCCCAUCAGACUAACGGUGGCUCUCUCAGCAGAAACUCUACAAGCCAGAAGAGAGUGGGGGCCAAUAUUCAACAUUCUUAAAGAAUUUUCAACCCAGAAUUUCAUAUCCAGCCAAACUAAGCUUCAUAAGUGAAGGAAACAUAAAAUCCUUUACAGACAAGCAAGUGCUGAGAGAUUUUGUCACCACCAGGCCUGCCUUACAAGAGCUCCUGAAGGAAGCACUAAAGGAACAACCGGUACCAGCCACUGCAAAACAUGCCAAAUUGUAAAGACCAUUGGUGCUAGGAAGAAACUGCAUCAACUAACAAGCAAAAUAACCAGCUAACAUCAUAAUGACAAGAUCAAGUUCACACGUAACAAUACUAACCUUAAAUGUAAAUGGGCUAAAUGCCCCAAUUAAAAGACACAGACUGGCAAAUUGGAUAAAGAGUCAAGACCCAUCAGUGUGCUGUAUUCAGGAGACCCAUCUCACCUGCAGAGACACACAUAGGCUCAAAAUAAAGAGAUGGAGGAAGAUCUACCAAGCAAAUGGAAAACAAAAAAAGCAGGGGUUGCAAACCCACUCUCUGAUAAAACAGAUUUUAAACCAACAAAGAUCAAAAGAGACAAAAGAGACAAAGAAGGCCAUUACAUAAUGGUAAAGGGAUCAAUUCAACAAGAAGAGCUAACUAUCUUAAAUAUAUAUGCACCCAAUACAGGAGCACCCAGAUUCAUAAAGCAAGCCCUUAGAGACCUACAAAGAGACUUAGACUCCCACACAAUAAUAAUGGGAGACUUUAACACUCCACUCUCAACAUUAGACAGAUCAACAAGACAGAAAGUUAACAAGGAUAUCCAGGACUUGAACUCAGCUCUGCACCAAGUGGACCUAAUAGACAUCUACAGAACUCUCCACCCCAAAUCAACAGAAUAUAUACAUUCUUCUCAGCACCACACUGCACUUAUUCCAAAAUUGACCACAUAGUUGGAAGUAAAGCACUCCUCAGCAAACGUAAAAGUACAGAAAUUAUAACAAACUGUCUCUCAGACCAUAGUGCAAUCAAAUUAGAACUCAGGAUUAAGAAACUCACUCAAAACCGCAAAACUACAUGGAAAUUGAAUAACCUGCUCCUGAAUGACUACUGGGUACAUAACUAAAUGAAGGCAGAAAUAAAGAUGUUCUUUGAAACCAAUGAGAACAAAGACACAACAUACCAGAAUCUCUGGGACACAUUUAAAGCAGUGUGUAGAGGGAAAUUUAUAGCACUAAAUGCCCACAAGAGAAAGCAGGAAAGAACUAAAACUGACACGCUAACAUCACAAUUAAAAGAACUAGAGAAGCAAGAGCAAACAUAUUCAAAAGCUAGCAGAAGGCAAGAAAUAACUAAGAUCAGAGCAGAACUAAAGGAGACAGAGACACAAAAAACCCUUCAAAACAUCAAUGGUAUCCAGGAGCUGGUUUUUGGAAAAGAUCAACAAAAUUGAUAGACCACUAGCAAGACUAAUAAAGAAGAAAAGAGAGAAGAAUCAAAUAGACGCAAUAAAAAAUGAUAAAGGGGAUAUCACCACCGAUCCCACGGAAAUACAAACUACCAUCAGAGAAUACUAUAAACACCUCUAUGUAAAUAAACUAGAAAACCUAAAAGAAAUGGAUAAAUUCCUGGACACAUCCACCCUCCCAAGACUAAACCAGGAAGAAGUUGAAUCCCUGAAUAGACCAAUAACAGGCUCUGAAAUUGAGGCAAUAAUUAAUAGCCUACCAACCAAAAAAAGUCCAGGACCAGAUGGAUUCACAGCCAAAUUCUGUCAGCGGUAGGAAGAGGAGCUGGUACCAUUCCUUCUGAAAUUAUUCCAAUCAGUAGAAAAAGAUGGAAUCCUCCCUAACUCAUUUUAUGAGGCCAGCAUCAUCCUGACACCAAAGCCUGGCAGAGACACAACAAAAAAAGAGAAUUUUAGGCCAAUAUCACUGAUGAACAUCGAUGCAAAAAUCCUCAAUAAAAUACUGGCAAACUGAAUCCAGCAGCACAUCAAAAAGCUUAUCCACCAUGAUCAAGUUGGCUUCAUCCCUAGGGUGCAAGGCUCAUUCAACAUACACAAAUCAAUAAACCUAAUCCAUCAUAUAAACAGAACCAAAGACAAAAACCACAUGAUUAUCUCAAUAGAUGCAGAAAAGACCUUCAACAAAAUUCAACAACGCCUCAUGCUAAAAACUCUCAAUAAACUAGGUAUUGAUGGGACUUAUCUCAAAAUAAUAAGAGCUAUCUAUGACAAACCCACAGCCAAUAUCAUACUGAAUGGGCAAAAACUGGAAGCAUUCCCUUUGAAAACUGGCACAAGACAGGGAUGCCCUCUCUCACCACUCCUAUUCAACAUAGUGUUGGAAGUUCUGGCCAGGGCAAUCAGGCAGGAGAAAGAAAUAAAGGGUAUCCAUUUAGGAAAAGAGGAAGUCAAAUCCUCCCUGUUUGCAGAUAACAUGAUUGUAUAUCUAGAAAAUCCCAUCGUCUCAGCCCAAAAUCUCCUUAAGCUGAUAAGCAACUUCAGCAAAGUCUCAGGAUACAAAAUCAAUGUGCAAAAAUCACAAGCAUUCCUAUACAACAAUAACAAACAGAGAGCCAAAUACUGAGUGAACUCCCAUUCACAAUUGCUUCAAAGAGAAUAAAAUACCUAGGAAUCCAACUUACAAGGGAUGUGAAGGACCUCUUCAAGGAGAACUACAAACCACUGCUCAAUGAAAUAAAAGAGGACACAAACAAAUGGAAGAACAUUCCAUGCUCAUCGAUAGGAAGAAUCAGUAUUGUGAAAAUGGGCAUACUGCCCAAGGUAAUUUAUAGAUUUUUUUUUUUUAUUUUUUGAGACGGAGUCUCGCUCUGUUGCCCAGGCUAGAGUGCAGUGGCUUGAUCUUGGCUCACUGCAAGCUCCGCCUCCCGGGUUCAUGCCAUUCUCCUGCCUCAGCCUCCCAAGUGGCUAGGACUACAGGCACCCACCACAAUGCCCGGCUAAUUUUUUGUAUUUUUUUAGUAGAGACAGGGUUUCACCAUGUUAACCAGGAUGGUCUGGAUCUCCUGACCUCGUGAUCCGCCCACCUCAGCCUCCCAAAGUGCUGGGAUUACAGGCAUGAGCCACCGCGCCCGGCCGGUAAUUUAUAGAUUUAAUGCCAUCCCCAUCAAGCUACCAAUGACUGUCUUCACAGAAUUGGAAAAAGCUACUUUAAAGUUCACAUGGAACCAAAAAAGAGCCCACAUUGCCAAGACUGUGGGGGAAAUAAAGAGAGAUCAGGCUGUUACUGUGUCUAUGCAGAAAGAAGAAGACAUAAGAAACUCCAUUUUGUUCUGUAGUAAGAAAAAUUCUUCUGCCUUGAGAUGCUAUUAAUCUGUAACGCUAGCCCCAACCCUGUGGUCACAGAAAUAUUUGCUGUGUUGACUCAAGGUUUAAUGGAUAUAGGGCUGUGCAGGAUGUGCUUUGUUAAAAAUGUGUUUGCACGCAGUAUGCUUGGUAAAAGUCAUCACCCUUCUCUGGUCUCAAGUACCCAGGGACACAAUGCACUGUCGAAGGCCACAGGGACCUCUGCCCAAGAACGCCUGGGUAUUGUCCAAGGUUUCUCCCCACUGAGACAGCCUGAGACAUGGCCUCGUGGGAAGGGAAAGACCUUACCGUCCCCCAGCCCGAUACCCAUAAAGGGUCUGUGCUGAGGAGGAUUAGUGAAAGAGGAAGGCCUCUUUGCAGUUGAGAUAAGAGGAAGGCAUCUGUCUCCUGCUCGUCCCCGGGAAUGGAAUGUCUUGGUGUAAAACCCGAACGUACAUUCUAUUUACUGAGAUGGGAGAAAACUGCCUUAUGGCUGGAGGUGAGACAUGCUGGCGACAAUACUGCUCUUUACUGCACUGAGAUGUUUGUGUAAAGUCAAACAUAAAUCUGGCCUACAAGCACAUCGAGGCACAGCACCUUUCCUUAAACUUAUUUAUGACACAGAGUCCUUUGUUCACAUGUUUUCCUGCUGACCCUCUCCCCACCCUGCCACAUCCCCCUCACCAAGAUAGUAGAGAUAGUGAUCAAUAAAUACUGAGGGAACUCAGAGACCAGAGCCGGUGCGGGUCCUCCAUAUGCUGAGCGCUGGUCCUCUGGGCCCACUGUUCUUUCUCUAUACUUUGUCUCUGUGUCUUAUUUCUUUUCUCAGUCUCUCAUCACACCUGAUGAGAAAUACCCACAGGUGUGGAGGGGCUGGCCCCCUUCAAAGACAAUCCUAAGCAAAAAGAACAAAACUGGAGGCAUCAUGCUACCUGACUUCAAAGGAUACUACAAGGCUACAGUAACCAAAACAGCAUGGUACUGGUACCAAAACAGAGAGAUAAACCAAUGGAAGAGAACAGAGCCCUCAGAAAUAAUACCAUACAUCUACAACCAUCUGAUCUUUGACAAACCUGACAAAAACAAGAAAUGGGGAAAGGAUUCCCUAUUUAAUAAAUAGUGCUGGGAAAACUGGCUAGCCAUAUGUAGAAAGCUAAAACUGGAUCCUUUCCUUACACCUUAUACAAAAAUUAAUUCAAGAUGGAUUAAAGACUUAAAUAUUAGACCUAAAAACCAUAAAAACCCUAGAAGAAAACCUAGGCAAUACCAUUCAGGACACAAGCAUGGGCAAUGACUUCAUGACUAAAACACCAAAAGCAAUGGCAACAAAAGCCAAAAUUGACAAAUGGGAUCUAAUUAAACUAAAGAGCUUCUGCACAGCAAAAGAAACCACCAUCAGAGUGAAGAGGCAACCUACAGAAUGGGAGAAAAUUUUUGCAAUCUACCCAUCUGACAAAGGGCUAAUAUCCAGAAUCUACAAAGAACUUAAACAAGUUUACAAGAAAAAAUCAAACAACCCCAUCACAAAGUGGGCAAAGGAUAUGAACAGACACUUCUCAAAAGAAGACAUUUAUGCAGCCAACAGACACAUGAAGAAAUGCUCAUCAUCACUGGUCAUCAGAGAAAUGCAAAUCAAAACCACAAUGAGAUACCAUCUCACACCAGUUAGAAUGACGAUCAUUAAAAAGUCAUGAAACAACAGAUGCUGGAGAGGAUGUGGAGAAACAGGAACACUCUUACACUGUUGAUGGGAGUGUGAAUUGGUUCAACCAUUGCGGAAGACAGUGUGGUGAUUCCUCAAGGAUCUGGAACUAGAAAUACCAUUUGAUCCAGCCAUCCCAUUACGGGGUAUAUACCCAAAGGAUUAUAAAUCAUGUUACUAUAAAGACACAUGCACAUGUAUGUUUACUGCAGCACUAUUUACAAUAGCAAAGACUUGUAACCAACCCAAAUGUCCAUCAAUGAUAGACUGGAUUAAGGAAAUGUGGCACAUAUACACCAUGGAAUACUAUGCAGCCAUAAAAAAGGAUGAGUUCAUGUCCUUUGCAGGGACAUGGAUGAAACUGGAAACCAUCAUUCUGAGCAAACUACCACAAGGACAGAAAACCAAACACUACACGCUCUCACUCAUAGGUGGGAAUUGAACAAUGAGAACACUUGGACACAGGGUAGGGAAUAUCACACACCCAGGCCUGUCAUGGGGUGGGGGGAGGGAGGAGGGAUAACAUUGGGAGGAAUAUCUAAUGUAAAUGAUGAGUUAAUGGGUGCAGCACACCAACUUGGCACAUGUAUAUGUAUGUAACAAACCUGCACAUUGUGCACAUGUACACUCGAACUUAAAAGUAUAAUAAAAAAAUUUUAAAAAGAAAGUAGCAUUUUAGAAAACAACUUCUCAAUAAAUAGCCUAUAAACAAAAAAAAAAGUAAAAAGAAAAAUAAGUGCAUCCUAUAGACAACACAACACAAUGGGCCAUGACCCAGCCAGGACAUGCCAACCUGUGAAGCUGGACAGAUAGAUGCCUAGAGCAGAGCCCAGGCUGCCCACAAGAAAUUGCUGAAAACUAAGGCUUAGGACAGACUGGAACCCAGAAAAGAAAGGAACCCCGGUCUUGGUCAUGGUUCAUGGCACCACUCCUUUAUAACAAUGCCCUAGAAGAAGCCCAUGCACCUCAGUGGGAGCACUCAUGCUGUUCUUGGGGAACCUUCAUAGGACUGUGCCCUGCCUUGAGCUGGAAGUCUCUGCAGUAGACAUCCUUCCAUAUUUUGUUCUUCAUCUUCUGAACGCCUUCAAGGUUUUUCAAUUGGAAAAAUUCUAUCUGCAUAAUCAACAAUGUGCUAAGGAACUCUACUUUUAGAUCUUCUUAGAAUUCAUAGUUCUUUGUACAUGAGGAUUAAAGCAUUCUUCUGUAUUCUCCACUUGUGAAAUAGAUUUGAGGUUGGUGGAGUCAGGAUUGGAAACACAUACAGGUGGGCAGGGGCAUGAAAGGGACUGGGACCCAGAUCAGAGCUGGAGGCUGAACUCCAGGGAGCCUUUGAAUAGCUAUGGAUAUCACCAGGGUGGGAAGGGACAGUGCUCCACUGUCCUGGGAUUCUCUUGAAACUGAGCUUGGCCUCCCUGCUGAGAGCAGAGAACAACCAUCAAUAAAUAUUCCUUCAAUGGUCUGAAGUUUACGUUUACAGGGUGGAGGUGGAAAUUAAAUUUAGGGAGCCAUGAGGAAGACCCCCAGCCCUGUGCCUUUUGAAUUGACAACCAUGGCAUUUCAGGGCAUCAGCUCCAGGUCAGGCAUUCUCAGGCAGUUGCAUAAUUCUGCCAAUGUGGGGCCCGCCCACCUCAAAAAUCCACAUGGAUUGGAUCCAGCAAAACCAAAUAUUCAGCAAAACUUCAAGAUCUAGCAACACUGAAGGCUCAAGUACAUCACCGGUGCAUACUUGGCCCAAGGAGGCUAUUCUCUCACAAUCUCUACCCAGCUCCGGGCCUGCAGCAUCUGAGACUCACUCCUUCAAGCUGCAGGUAUCCCAGGAAAAAGAUUUAUGCAUCCUCAUAGCUUCAACAUGCAGUGUGUCAGGCACAGAAAAAUGGUUGUCUUCAGAAAGUGAUAAAAAAAACAUGCAGUAGCAAUCACCCUUUGGACUUUGAAACUUUUCUGUCACCUUAGAUGUCAGAAACUAAAACCCAGAAACUUGGUGUUGGCAUUAAUUUGGUCUAGCUAUGAAGACUUUUUUUUUUUUUUUUUCACACAGUGACAGUUCUGAAUUUGAAUAUAAAGGAGCUUAGGUGCUAUAAUCUGAAUGGAACGUGGGAAUAAAACUGUCUUUGCCUUGUACUUCUUGUUAGAUUAAUUAAAUACCAAUUAUCAGUAUAAGAAAAUGGCAAUAAAU
rnacentral:lncRNA from 1 species